UACAGAGGUGGCAAGCGUUGUUCGGAAUUACUGGGCGUAAAGGGCGCGUAGGCGGCCUUCUAAGUCAGACGUGAAAUCCCUCGGCUUAACCGGGGAACUGCGUCUGAUACUGGAUGGCUUGAGUCCGGGAGAGGGAUGCGGAAUUCCAGGUGUAGCGGUGAAAUGCGUAGAUAUCUGGAGGAACACCGGUGGCGAAGGCGGCAUCCUGGACCGGCACUGACGCUGAUGAGCGAAAGCCAGGGGAGCAAACGGG
rnacentral:rRNA from 1 species